rnacentral:rRNA from 1 species
AUGAACGCUGGCGGCGUGCCUAAUACAUGCAAGUCGAGCGAACAGAUCAGGAGCUUGCUCCUUUGACGUUAGCGGCGGACGGGUGAGUAACACGUGGGUAACCUACCUAUAAGACUGGGAUAACUUCGGGAAACCGGAGCUAAUACCGGAUAACAUUUGGAACCGCAUGGUUCUAAAGUGAAAGAUGGUUUUGCUAUCACUUAUAGAUGGACCCGCGCCGUAUUAGCUAGUUGGUAAGGUAACGGCUUACCAAGGCGACGAUACGUAGCCGACCUGAGAGGGUGAUCGGCCACACUGGAACUGAGACACGGUCCAGACUCCUACGGGAGGCAGCAGUAGGGAAUCUUCCGCAAUGGGCGAAAGCCUGACGGAGCAACGCCGCGUGAGUGAUGAAGGGUUUCGGCUCGUAAAACUCUGUUAUUAGGGAAGAACAAAUGUGUAAGUAACUGUGCACGUCUUGACGGUACCUAAUCAGAAAGCCACGGCUAACUACGUG